rnacentral:rRNA from 1 species
AACGAACGCUGGCGGCAGGCCUAACACAUGCAAGUCGAACGCUCUAGCAAUAGGGAGUGGCGCACGGGUGAGUAACGCGUAGGAAUCUACCCAUUAGCCUGGGAUAACAGCGGGAAACUGCUGCUAAUACCGGAUACGCUCCUUCGGGAGGAAAGGUUUACUACUAAUGGAUGAGCCUGCGUUAGAUUAGCUAGUUGGUGAGGUAAUGGCUCACCAAGGCUCCGAUCUAUAGCCGGUCUGAGAGGACGAUCGGCCACACUGGGACUGAGACACGGCCCAGACUCCUACGGGAGGCAGCAGUGGGGAAUAUUGGGCAAUGGGCGCAAGCCUGACCCAGCCAUGCCGCGUGAGUGAUGAAGGCCUUAGGGUUGUAAAGCUCUUUUAGUAGUGAAGAUGAUGACAGUAGCUACAGAAAAAGCCCCGGCUAACUUCGUGCCAGCAGCCGCCGUAAAAC